AGACAGCAAAAUUGAAGUUGCAUACUGAGAUGCAAUUACUUUUCUUUCAUGCUAAGAACAAGCUAGCUGAUACACAUAGCACAUCCAUCACCAUUCAAAAUAGCAUCUUGAUAUAUGCCAGUUUUAUACACGGCUAGAAAUCAUUCCUACAUCUCAUAGAAGUUAAGAAUUUUCUUAGAAAGAAAUGCAGAUUUCCCAAGAGAGAGAUUGCAAAAAAAUAUCACAGUAUGUAGUGUAUGGAUUUCAAUCAAAUCUAUACAUCACAAUCACAUCCAGUGUUUUCAAUCUAUGCGUCGUACUAUAUGCACGAUCGAAGAAAAAUUACAGUGAUUGAAAUUGGCUUUCUUGGAUAGCAGAGUUUCAACAGACUAAAGAGAACCUGCUGAACGUGUGAUGAUGGUUGAACACUACUUGUAAUCGAGGGUUGUUGGAGGGCGCUGGAAGGUGUAGCAUGAAAUUGUAGUUGGGAUGUUUGAUGACUCAACGGAGUUUGAAGGAGGAAUGGUAACCGAAGAGAAUCCUGAUGAUGCUGCAGAAGACAACAAUGGAACGGGGGUGAUGACACCAAUGUUUUGCAUUUUCCACGGCCAAUUUG
rnacentral:lncRNA from 1 species